rnacentral:tRNA from 1 species
GGCCGGUUAGCUCAGCUGGUUAGAGCGUGGUGCUAAUAACGCCAAGGUCGCAGGUUCGCUCCCCGUACUGUCCA